rnacentral:rRNA from 1 species
CCUCUGGUGUUCCGGUUGUCACGCCAGUGGCAUUGCCGGGUAGCUAUGUUCGGAAAAGAUAACCGCUGAAAGCAUCUAAGCGGGAAACUUGCCUCAAGAUGAGAUCUCACUGGAGCCUUGAGCUCCCUGAAGGGCCGUCGAAGACUACGACGUUGAUAGGCAGGGUGUGUAAGCGCUGUGAGGCGUUGAGCUAACCUGUACUAAUUGCCCGUGAGGCUUGACCAUAUAACACCCAAGCAAUUUGG